rnacentral:rRNA from 3 species
CCUGUUAUUCAGGAGUGACGGGCGAUUUGUGCAUAUCCAUUGAAAAUUUCAAUUAAAAUUUUUAUUUUAUUAAUUUUAUUUAUUUAUAAGUCCUAUUUUUAAAAUUUUUCUUUUUUUUUCCAGUAAAUAAAUAUUUGUAUCCCAUUGAACUCUUUUUUAUUAUCUCUGUCUUGAUUUGUUUAAUUAUUUUUUAAUUUUUUAUUAAAAUGUUUUUAUUCUGAUAGUACAAUGAUAUAGAUAAUUAUAACUCCAGUACAUUAUAUCGUGGGUUAUCUAUAAUGAAACAGGAUCCCCUAUUUUAUUUGGAUACCGCCAUUUUAUUUGGAUUUGGUUUAAUUAAUUACUUUCCUUCCUUUUUUUAAAA